GAUAUCCUUUGCACGGGCAUGUGUGACUGGAUUGGCAGAUAGCAAAAUUGUACUGAAAUUCACACCAUAUCAUUGGUUUUAAGAUAGUGGUAUUCUUAACUCAUUCAACAACGAUUGCAGCCAAGAAGUAACAGGAACAAGACUUACUAAAAUUUGAACUCCACCUCAAUUGAUAUAGUUUGUUGUCUUCUCGUGCACUAAGACCACCUAAUCAUCAAAAACUAGCGCUCUAAUAAAACUGUAAUAAACCAAAUUUAAGAACUCUUCCACCUCGAUACCGCCAAAGAACUCUAGAAACUAGACUACAAAAACUCAAAAUCACAUUAAUUACCUUCAUCCUUCAAGUUUUCUUAAAGCUUGUUUGGGAGUGAUUUUGAGAAUUGAUUUUUUG
rnacentral:lncRNA from 1 species